rnacentral:rRNA from 1 species
AUUGAACGCUGGCGGCAUGCCUUACACAUGCAAGUCGAACGGUAACAGGUCUUCGGAUGCUGACGAGUGGCGAACGGGUGAGUAAUACAUCGGAACGUGCCUAGUAGUGGGGGAUAACUACUCGAAAGAGUGGCUAAUAAUGCAUGAGAUCUACGGAUGAAAGCAGGGGAUCGCAAGACCUUGUGCUACUAGAGCGGCCGAUGGCAGAUUAGGUAGUUGGUGGGAUAAAGGCUUACCAAGCCGACGGUCUGUAGCGGGUAUGAGAGGACGAUCAGCCACACUGGGACUGAGAAACGGCCCAGACUCCUACAGGAGGCAGCAGUGGGGAAUUUUGGACAAUGGGCGCAAGCCUGAUCCAGCAAUGCCGCGUGCAGGAUGAAGGCCUUCGGGUUGUAAACUGCUUUUGUACGGAACGAAAAGCCCCGGGUUAAUACCCUGGGGUCAUGACGGUACCGUAAGAAUAAGCACCGGCUAACUACGUGCCAGCAGCCGCAGUAA